CGGGAUUGCCUUAGUAACGGCGAGUGAAGCGGCAAAAGCUCAAAUUUGAAAUCUGGUACCUUCGGUGCCCGAGUUGUAAUUUGGAGAGGGCAACUUUGGGGCCGUUCCUUGUCUAUGUUCCUUGGAACAGGACGUCAUAGAGGGUGAGAAUCCCGUGUGGCGAGGAGUGCGGUUCUUUGUAAAGUGCCUUCGAAGAGUCGAGUUGUUUGGGAAUGCAGCUCUAAGUGGGUGGUAAAUUCCAUCUAAAGCUAAAUAUUGGCGAGAGACCGAUAGCGAACAAGUACAGUGAUGGAAAGAUGAAAAGAACUUUGAAAAGAGAGUGAAAAAGUACGUGAAAUUGUUGAAAGGGAAGGGCAUUUGAUCAGACAUGGUGUUUUGUGCCCUCUGCUCCUUGUGGGUAGGGGAAUCUCGCAUUUCACUGGGCCAGCAUCAGUUUUGGUGGCAGGAUAAAUCCAUAGGAAUGUAGCUUGCCUCGGUAAGUAUUAUAGCCUGUGGGAAUACUGCCAGCUGGGACUGAGGACUGCGACGUAAGUCAAGGAUGCUGGCAUAAUGGUUAUAUGCCGCCCGUCUUGAAACACGGACCUCCUGUGUGAAGUGA
rnacentral:rRNA from 1 species